rnacentral:rRNA from 1 species
GACGAACGCUGGCGGCGUGCUUAACACAUGCAAGUCGAGCGGUAAGGCCCUUUCGGGGGUACACGAGCGGCGAACGGGUGAGUAACACGUGGGUGACCUGCCCUCAGCUCUGGGAUAAGCCUGGGAAACUGGGUCUAAUACCGGAUAUGACUCCAUGACGCAUGUUGUGGGGUGGAAAGCCUUGUGCGGCUGAGGAUGGGCCCGCGGCCUAUCAGCUUGUUGGUGGGGUGANGGCCUACCAAGGCGACGACGGGUAGCCGGCCUGAGAGGGCGACCGGCCACACUGGGACUGAGACACGGCCCAGACUCCUACGGGAGGCAGCAAUGGGGAAUCUUGCGCAAUGGGCGAAAGCCUGACGCAGCGACGCCGCGUGAGGGAUGACGGCCUGGU